rnacentral:rRNA from 1 species
GUGGGGAAUAUUGCGCAAUGGGCGAAAGCCUGACGCAGCGACGCCGCGUGGGUGAUGAAGGCCUUCGGGUCGUAAAGCCCUGUCGGGAGGGACGAAACCCCGGUGACCGAAUACGUUGCCGGCUUGACGGUACCUCCUAAGGAAGCACCGGCUAACUCCGUGCCAGCAGCCGCGGUAAUACGGAGGGUGCAAGCGUUGUUCGGAAUCACUGGGCGUAAAGCGCGUGUAGGCGGCCACCUAAGUCUGGUGUGAAAGCCCGGGGCUCACCCCCGGAACUGCGCUGGAAACUGAGUGGCUAGAGUACCGGAGAGGAGGGUGGAAUUCCUGGUGUAGCGGUGAAAUGCGUAGAUAUCAGGAGGAACACCGGUGGCGAAGGCGGCCCUCUGGACGGCUACUGACGCUGAGACGCGAAAGCGUGGGGAGCAAACAGGAUUAGAAACCCUAGUAGUCC